rnacentral:tRNA from 1 species
AUUUAUAUAGUUUUAAUUAAAAUAUUAUACUUUCAAUAUAAAGUUAUUAAUUAAUAAAUUAAUUAUAAAUA